rnacentral:lncRNA from 1 species
GUUUUAUACAGACCAGGGUCUGUGAUCAACCAAGAUGGACUGAGGAGGUUUUAUACAGACCAGGAUCUGUACCGACCCAGAACUGAACUGAGGAGGUUUUAUACAGACCAGGGUCUGUACCGACCCAGAGCUGGACUGAGGAGGUUUUAUACAGACCAGGGUCUGUGAUCAACCAAGAUGGACUGAGGAGGUUUUAUACAGACCAGGGUCUGGACUGAGGAGGUUUUAUACAGACCAGGGUCUGUACCGACCCAGAACUGGACUGAGGAGGUUUUAUACAGACCAGGGUCUGUACCGACCCCGAGCUGCACUGAGGAGGUUUUAUACAGACCAGGGUCUGUACCGACCCCGAGCUGGACUGAGGAGGUUUUAUACAGACCAGGGUCUGUAUCGACCCAGAGCUGGACUGAGGGGUUUUAUACAGACCAGGGUCUGUACCGAGCUGGACUGAGGAGGUUUUAUACAGACAGGGUCUGUGAUCAACCAAGAUGGACUGAGGAGGUUUUAUACAGACCAGGGUCUGUACCGAGCUGGACUGAGGGGUUUUAUACAGACCAGGGUCUGUACCGAGCUGGACUGAGGAGGUUUUAUACAGACCAGGGUCUGUACCGACCCAGAGCUGGACUGAGGAGGUUUUAUACAGACCAGGGUCUGUACCGAGCUGGACUGAGGAGGUUUUAUACAGACCAGGGUCUGUAUCAACCCCGAGCUGGACUGAGGAGGUUUGAUACAGACCAGGGUCUGUACCGACCCAGAGCUGGACUGAGGAGGUUUUAUACAGACCAGGGUCUGUACCGACCCAGAGCUGGACUGAGGAGGUUUUAUACAGACCAGGGUCUGUACCGAGCUGGACUGAGGGGUUUUAUACAGACCAGGGUCUGUACCGAGCUGGACUGAGGAGGUUUUAUACAGACCAGGGUCUGUACCGACCCAGAGCUGGACUGAGGAGGUUUUAUACCUGGUCUGUGUUCAACCAAGAUGGAAGAGGAACGACUCAAACAUCCGAAUCUUAGUGCCAAGGUUACCGUGGAAACAGAGG